rnacentral:rRNA from 1 species
AGGACGAACGCUGGCGGCGCGCCUAAUACAUGCAAGUCGAACGGUUACACUUCGGUGUAGCAGUGGCGGACGGGUGAGUAACACGUGGGUGACCUGCCCACUAGUGGGGAAUAACGCUGGGAAACCAGCGCUAAUACCGCAUACGCUUGGCGCUUCAUUGUGCUAAGUAAAGAUUAAUCGCUAGUGGAGGGGCCUGCGCCAGAUUAGCUAGUCGGUGGGGUAAUGGCUCACCGAGGCGACAAUCUGUAGCUGGUCUGAGAGGACGACCAGCCACACUGGGACUGAGACACGGCCCAGACUCCUACGGGAGGCAGCAGUAAGGAAUAUUCCACAAUGGGCGCAAGCCUGAUGGAGCGACGCCGCGUGAGCGAAGAAGCCCUUCGGGUGUAAAGCUCUUUUCCCAGGGAUGAUAAUGACAGUACCUGGGGAAUAAGCCUCGGCUAACUACGUGCCAGCAGCCGC